AUCCUUUCCCAGUUCAGAAGCAUAAUUGGGUGCCUACACAUUUGUGUGAUAUGUGCCCCAUUAAACCUUGUUACCAUAUUGGCAUAUUACCCUCUGAUG